GGGGCUGAUAUGGUUUCGACGGGAUUGGUUGAGCAUAGAUUGCAAGUCGUGUUGUUCACGUAAAACGCUAAAAAAAAUAAAUGCAACAAAAUUAAAAAAUGCUAUAGCAAAUAUGUUUGGUGGACGCCAAGCAGUUGCUUUUGCCUAAUAUAAUUAAUAAGGCUAGCGCUUCUUUUUAAUCUUAACCUAGAGAUUAUUCAGAGGUUCAUUUUUAUAGGUUAUAUCUAUUCUUUGUCUAGGGAAUAGAAAGAAUUUUUAGACUAAUAUAGUUUCUUGGUCGUUAACUACUUGGAAAUUAUAUGAUUAACAAUUAGUUAACUAAGCUUGUAGAUGUUUAUGUAUCGCUUUUUUCGGACAGGAGUUCGAUUCUCCUCAGCUCCACCA
rnacentral:tmRNA from 1 species